rnacentral:rRNA from 2 species
GAUUAAGCCAUGCAAGUCUAAGUAUAAGCAAUUAUAUGGUGAAACUGCGAACGGCUCAUUAAAUCAGUUAUCGUUUAUUUGAUAGUACCUUACUACUUGGAUAACCGUGGUAAUUCUAGAGCUAAUACAUGCUAAAAGCCCCGACUUCGGGAGGGGCGUAUUUAUUAGAUAAAAAACCAAUGCCCUUCGGGGCUCCUUGGUGAAUCAUAAUAACUUCUCGAAUCGCAUGGCCUUGUGCCGGCGAUGGUUCAUUCAAAUUUCUGCCCUAUCAACUUUCGAUGGUAGGAUAGUGGCCUACCAUGGUGGCAACGGGUAACGGGGAAUUAGGGUUCGAUUCCGGAGAGGGAGCCUGAGAAACGGCUACCACAUCCAAGGAAGGCAGCAGGCGCGCAAAUUACCCAAUCCCGAUACGGGGAGGUAGUGACAAUAAAUAUUGAUCCGGGGCUCUUUCGGGUCUCGGAAUCGAAAUGAGAACAAUCUAAAUCCCUUAACGAGGAACAAUUGGAGGGCAAGUCUGGUGCCAGCAGCCGCGGUAAUUCCAGCUCCAAUAGCGUAUAUUAAAGUUGUUGCAGUUAAAAAGCUCGUAGUUGAACCUUGGGUCUGGCUGGCCGGUCCGCCUCACCGCGUGCACUGGUCCGGCCGGGCCUUUCCUUCUGGGGAGCCCUAUGGCCUUCACUGGCUGUAGGGGGAACCAGGACUUUUACUGUGAAAAAAUUAGAGUGUUCAAAGCAGGCCUUUGCUCGGAUACAUUAGCAUGGAAUAAUAGAAUAGGACGUGCGGUUCUAUUUUGUUGGUUUCUAGGACCGCCGUAAUGAUUAAUAGGGAUGGUCGGGGGCGUCAGUAUUCAGCUGUCAGAGGUGAAAUUCUUGGAUUUGCUGAAGACUAACUAUUGCGAAAGCAUUCGCCAAGGAUGUUUUCAUUAAUCAGUGAACGAAAGUUAGGGGAUCGAAGACGAUCAGAUACCGUCGUAGUCUUAACCAUAAACUAUGCCGACUAGGGAUCGGACGGGGUUUUUUUAAUGACCCGUUCGGCACCUUACGAGAAAUCAAAGUUUUUGGGUUCUGGGGGGAGUAUGGUCGCAAGGCUGAAACUUAAAG